GUGUCUAGAAGCAGCAGUAAGGAGGAGGGACAAUGUCCACCUUUCUUCAUGGUGUCUAGGAAGAAAAUGAAUGAGUAACCUUCACUGAGAAGCCUUCAAGGAGGAGUUUUAUUUCUGGCUGUGAUUACUGGAGACCUGAAGGUGUUGAAGAUGAUUUAGUGAAGAAUAUGGGCCCAGGAAUCAAAUACACCCAGGCUGGCCAACUGGCUUUGUCACCUACUGACCAUGGGUACAGGUUUGUCUAAUUGUGGUCGCAGUGGACAAGCAGGACAAAGCAAUCAUUGUUUUUUCUGGUAGAAUAAGUCACCUAUGGCACUGGAAGACAAGAUACAAUAAAAACUGUAUUGAGCC